rnacentral:lncRNA from 1 species
CGGAAUAGUGUUAUAAACUUCCUCAGCAUUUCGCGCUGCAAGUCCGGAAGAAAUGUAUGUACUACCUGCUUAAACUAUGCCAAAAGUGAGCUGCGCAAGCAAAAAGCUCAGAACCUUCCAGAAGACCCACACAGUGAUGGUGCCGGGUCAAGCGAUGCCAUGUGUCUAGACGCAGACGUGUCGAGCACAUCGUCAAGUCGCGUUGAUGCCACAGUACAGGCGUCAGAUCCCUGCGCAGAGAACCGCAAAAAGACGACGAUUGACUCGUAGUCACAGCCCAAGAGUUCGAACGACAAGACGUUGAUCUGUCGCUUCAAGUGGUCAUAGAAGCAUGGGGCUCUGGCGCCAUGGCAGAGACAAGCCUAACUGAGCUUUCCAAAGCAGUCGGGUGUGCUCUCAAUGGCCACCUUCUUAAAGAUGUGGAAUCACUAAUGCCUGAAUUCAUAAACAUCACGUCUCUUGAAGCCCUCGACGUGACGGAGUGGCUAAGAGCUCGUACCAAGCCAGUGAUAAGUCUAUUAGAAGCCAUGACCAAAGGAACAGGAAAAGGAAGCAAAUCGGGUCAGAGUUCAAGCUGUCAAAAAAAAGCUCAACAUGGUCCUUGCCUACGAAAUAUGAUGUCCUGUAGACACUCUCGUUUUGUCGGCCCAUUCAGUUUCGCCAACGCCAUUGUGAAAAACACUUUUCGUCGGAGCGCUGCCAUCACUGAGCUAGACGCGGUAAUGACAGCCAGUGGCUCCAAGACGACACACAGAAACUUUCUGCAGGCCAACGGCGAGACACCAAACAUCGUAUAUGCACCUGAUAGUGAAUUAUGGUUCGAUAACAAUCAGGUUGUGGGGAGGACGACGCGUGUUUCUGCUGGCGGCCAGCGACUGAUGAGCGGCUGCACUAUGGUCGCCUCCAUAGCCUGCAGCGCGUCCGACGCACCACUCCAGAUUGAUGCAUCUCUCAAGCCGGGAGAAUUUGAAACCCUUCAGGUGGAUCAGCUGAAAAUCGACAUGCAGAAACUAAACGAACUCGAAGCGACUCUGAGCGACAACUAUCGCCGGUUCCGGUCUGACUUCUGGAGCGGCGUGCUGGCUUCUGUGCAAAGCGAACAGCGUGCCGUCGCAUCAUCAUACUCCGGCUGGAUCGACCAUACGGACGCCGUGGCAGCAACUGGAUGCCAGUACUGACAACUGGUGUUGUAAGCAGUGCUUGGGGGUACACCCCCAGUAUCGACAAGUGUUCCCUGUGUGGGACAGCAUCCAGGGCCUCGUUUCAUAAAAGGAAUUACUUACGGCGUUCCGUCAAUUAUGCCAGAUUUGGCGUAUUUGUUGCCAAUUCGGUUUCACAAAGCCGAAGACCGGAGUAAUUCACGCCAUCGAAAUUACGGAGCAUCGUUUACGGCAAAUGCUCGAUUCCGGACCAAUUGAUGCCAUUUGGGUUUCAUAAAACGACGUAAUUAACGCCAAAUAUUUUAUCAAGUUCUUGCUAUCAGUGGUGUAAACUACGCACAAAAAUGUUGCGUGAAUUUGAAUUAAUAUUGAGAUUCGAAGCUAAUUUUAUCUUUUUUUAUAAUGCUGAGCCCGGUGAUGAAGAAAGAACAGCCAAAAUGAGAAAAAGAAACUGCAAAUCUUCUGUGCCAGUCGCUUUUUGUGGCCACUGUCGGAAUUUUGUUUAUUCGCCGCGCCGCGCCACUUUCGUAGUUAGGCACCUCCGCUUAGCUGGCUUUCUGCUGUUUUCAAUAAAUUGAUUUAAUAAAGGAUGGUCAGCAAAAUCGACUUUGUUUUUUCAUAAAUAAUUUUUACGAUUUAAAUUCAACGUAAUUGCUUUAUAAUUUCUUGCAAAAAAAUAAGUGUUGACAUGAAAUUGUAAUUUGUAGGACGCUUGAUAAAUUACGGUAACUACGCAAAUGUGCUUAGUUACGGAGGUGUAAACAAUUCCAGUUGUGGCUUUGUGAAACGGCUUCAUUUGCGCUCCGUAGUUUGAAAGGGUGUGAAUUACGGAAAGGUGUAAGUUACGGCAGAGCUUAUGAAACGAGGCCCAGGACGUGGCUGUCCUCCACUCGCAUCGAGCAAAUGCAUGGCGUGCCAUCCGGACACCACUCUCAAUGGAGUCAGUGAAACUGGCUGAGGUAGCGGAUGUGCUCCCUAACUCGUACGCCAGCUGCCGAGAGAUCUUGGAGCACCUGCACCGGGUGGCUGGUGUUGGCAGUCACCGUGAGUGGGUUCCGGUCGGUUGCGACGGUCAGUCUUUUGACUUGAUAAGAAAUCUCAUAGACAACUGUCUGAUUCAGUGUGACCUGUGUGGAGAGUGCCUGUCGCCAGACGAGGAGGACAGUCACGAUCAUGGCGACAUACCCUGGAGUGCAAGAAAGGUGUUUGACUGGAUACUUCUGAGGCCGGGACUGGGCCAUGUAGAAAUGAACUGUCUCAAAGUGCUCUUUCGACUUCUAUGGGUGCCUGUUCUUCGGCAUGUAGCCAGUCUGAUCGGCUUCAAGAGCGCACCAUCAUAGGCAUUUAUAAGGAACUGUGGGGGACAAUCACUUGAGCUGGCAACUGCUAUGCGUUUUACGUGAUGCCUUGUGUCGCGAACUCGCAGUGCCGUACGUGCGGGAGUGCCUGUCACAUGAUGUCAGUCCCUCUUCGACUGGGUUCAUCAGCUGGACCAUGGGAGUGUCCAACAGCAACUACAUGCUGAUGUUCAAACUGACUGACCUGAUGGUGACGCUCAGUAUGAUGCGCGCCGGUAUCAGACGUAACAAUACAAACGCGAUGCUCUCUGGAA